UACGAAGGGUGCAAGCGUUACUCGGAAUUACUGGGCGUAAAGCGUGCGUAGGUGGUUUGUUAAGUCUGAUGUGAAAGCCCUGGGCUCAACCUGGGAACGGCAUUGGAAACUGGCUUACUAGAGUGCGGUAGAGGGGUGUGGAAUUCCCGGUGUAGCAGUGAAAUGCGUAGAUAUCGGGAAGAACACCGGUGGCGAAGGCGGCGCUCUGGACCGAGACUGACGCUGAGGCGCGAAAGCGUGGGGAGCAAACAGG
rnacentral:rRNA from 1 species